AUUGAACGCUGGCGGCAUGCUUUACACAUGCAAGUCGAACGGUAACAGGUUAAGCUGACGAGUGGCGAACGGGUGAGUAAUGCAUCGGAACGUGCCCGGUCGUGGGGGAUAACGCAGCGAAAGCUGCGCUAAUACCGCGUACGAUCUGAGGAUGAAAGCGGGGGACCGUAGGGCCUCGCGCGAUCGGAGCGGCCGAUGCCAGAUUAGGUAGUUGGUGGGGUAAAGGCUCACCAAGCCAACGAUCUGUAGCUGGUCUGAGAGGACGACCAGCCACACUGGGACUGAGACACGGCCCAGACUCCUACGGGAGGCAGCAGUGGGGAAUUUUGGACAAUGGGCGAAAGCCUGAUCCAGCAAUGCCGCGUGCAGGAAGAAGGCCUUCGGGUUGUAAACUGCUUUUGUACGGAGCGAAAAGGUCUCCUCUAAUACAGGGGGCUCAUGACGGUACCGUAAGAAUAAGCACCGGCUAACUACGUGCCAGCCGCCGCCGUAA
rnacentral:rRNA from 1 species